rnacentral:rRNA from 1 species
GACGAACGCUGGCGGCGUGCUUAACACAUGCAAGUCGUACGGUAAGGCCCUUUCGGGGGUACACGAGUGGCGAACGGGUGAGUAACACGUGAGUAACCUGCCCACAACUUUGGGAUAACGCUAGGAAACUGGUGCUAAUACUGGAUAUGUGCUCCUGCUGCAUGGUGGGGGUUGGAAAGCUCCGGCGGUUGUGGAUGGACUCGCGGCCUAUCAGCUUGUUGGUGGGGUAGUGGCCUACCAAGGCGGCGACGGGUAGCCGGCCUGAGAGGGUGACCGGCCACAUUGGGACUGAGAUACGGCCCAGACUCCUACGGGAGGCAGCAGUGGGGAAUAUUGCACAAUGGGCGCAAGCCUGAUGCAGCAACGCCGCGUGCGGGAGGACGGCCUUCGGGUUGUAAACCGCUUUCAGCGGGGACGAAGCUUUUUGUGACGGUACCUGCAGAAGAAGCACCGGCUAACUACGUG